CUGUGCCAAUUGAUCAUCGUUAAGUGACAAAGCUAAAAAAGACUACUAUAAAGUGCCCAAUUUAAGCCAAAUAAGAUAAAAAGGUGGCGGAGAGCAGAACAAGACCACCCAGUUUUGAGUGGUGCGUUGAAAUACCCACAAAUAGAAGCCCAGUGAUAUGGAGAAAUUACAACAAUUACGCCAUUUCCCAUGGCUCAACGGACCUGAGGCCCCGACUUUGAUCCGCGGAUUUCAAUUCGUUUAUAUAAAGACCAGCGACUGUAAAUAUGUACAAACCCUUAUGGAUAUGCCUAUAUAAAAGUACAAAUUUGGUGGCCUUUUGACCUACAUACAUACAUAUGUAUAAAGGAAAAUCAUGGCGACACAAAAUGGCCGACUCUGAUGACGUCACCGUGUAAAUUUAGUGACUUUGUUGGCUUACAUACGAAUGGUGAAAUCAUGGCGACACAAAAUGGCGGACCUCGAUGACGUCACCGGGUGAAGGGUUAGGAUCCCAGAUUGUGGAAGUCAUAAAUGUGUAUCGAUGUCAUGGAAAAUCCAGCGUUUGAAAAUAAUAGGAGCCUUCAAAUUUGAACUGCGAUCGGAUCCUCAUUUCAAGAAAAUUCGAAUGAUCUUCCUACUUGAUGUCAGUGGACAAGAAACAACAAUCGACCAGCAAUCAGAUGCCUCCACAGGUUUUUCAUAGGUUGAGGCAAAGGUAACCCAUAGCUUGAACGAAAUGAGCCUCUCUUGACAUUAUGAAGAACGUUUCAAAGUUUGUGGAUCAUUGUGGAACAAAUUUAUUUUUAGAAAGUCCGAGUUGACUUCAGUCCUAAAGAGCUAUUGAAUAUAUUAUUAAAUACUUUAUUAAUAAUGUUAUUUUUCCUUAAAACAAGAAAAGAAGUUAACUUCGGCAAGCUGAAGCUUUAUACCCUUGCAC